rnacentral:rRNA from 1 species
AUGGCACCAAGAUGGUCUAGCAGCAGCAAGGGCGUCGGGGAGGACGGCCUCAGGUCAACGCGACCACAAAGUAGAGGAGGCAGGGGAUCGAGGCUGACGCGCCUCCUCCGCCUGCUCGAAGCAGAGGCGAGGCCACGGCGCCGCUGGAUCUCGCGACAGGAGGUCGGGAAUGGCUUGUUUUGGCCAGAGACGAGGCAGCUUCUCCCCGUCCGGCAAGACGGCAGGAGCGCGGGGACGACGGGUCUCGACGACGAGAGGGUGCAGCAGCUGCUGCUGCUGCCGGCGGCGACAUCAAGGCGGGUUGAGGGCGACACGGAGAAGCAGGAGGAGAGGCAGGGGCGACGGUAG